rnacentral:rRNA from 1 species
AUUGAACGCUGGCGGCAGGCUUAACACAUGCAAGUCGAGCGGGGGAAGGUAGCUUGCUACCGGACCUAGCGGCGGACGGGUGAGUAAUGCUUAGGAAUCUGCCUAUUAGUGGGGGACGACAUCUCGAAAGGGAUGCUAAUACCGCAUACGUCCUACGGGAGAAAGCAGGGGAUCAUCGGACCUAGCGCUAAAAGAUGAGCCUAAGUCGGAUUAGCUAGUUGGUGGGGUAAAGGCCUACCAAGGCGGCGAUCUGUAGCGGGUCUGAGCGGAUGAUCCGGCAAACUGGGACUGAGACACGGCCCAGGCUCCUACGGGGGGCAGCAGUGGGGAAUAUUGGACAAUGGGGGGAACCCUGAUCCAGCCAUGCCGCGUGUGUGAAGAAGGCCUUAUGGUUGUAAAGCAGUUUAAGCGAGGAGGAGGCUACUUUAGUUAAUACCUAGAUAUAGUGGACGUUACUCGCAGAAUAAGCACCGGCUAACUCUGUGCCAGCAGCCGCCGUAA